UCGGAUAUGGUGUAACGGCUAACAUUCGCGCCUUUCACGCGCGAGCUCGGGGUUCGAUUCCCCGUAUCCGAA
rnacentral:tRNA from 1 species